rnacentral:rRNA from 1 species
UGAGGAAUAUUGGUCAUAUGGGCGAGAGCCUGAACCAGCCAAGUAGCGUGCAGGAUGACGGCCCUAUGGGUUGUAAACUGCUUUUAUGUGGGGAUAAAGUGAGCUACGUGUAGUUUAUUGCAGGUACCACAUGAAUAAGGACCGGCUAAUUCCGUGCCAGCAGCCGCGGUAAUACGGAAGGUCCAGGCGUUAUCCGGAUUUAUUGGGUUUAAAGGGAGCGUAGGCCGUGGAUUAAGCGUGUUGUGAAAUGUAGACGCUCAACGUCUGAAUUGCAGCGCGAACUGGUUCACUUGAGUAUGCACAACGUAGGCGGAAUUCGUCGUGUAGCGGUGAAAUGCUUAGAUAUGACGAAGAACUCCGAUUGCGAAGGCAGCUUACGGGAGCACAACUGACGCUGAAGCUCGAAGGUGCGGGUAUCAAACAGGAUUAGAUACCCUGGUAGUCCGCACAGUAAACGAUGGAUGCCCGUUGUUAGUUCACUUAUGAAUUAGCGACCAAGCGAAAGCAUUAAGCAUCCCACCUGGGGAGUACGCCGGCAACGGUG